UACGUAGGGUCCGAGCGUUAAUCGGAAUUACUGGGCGUAAAGCGCACGUAGGCGGAUCUUUAAGUCAGGGGUGAAAUCCCGAGGCUCAACCUCGGAACUGCCCUUGAUACUGGGGAUCUCGAGUCCGGAAGAGGUUGGUGGAACUCCGAGUGUAGAGGUGAAAUUCGUAGAUAUUCGGAAGAACACCAGUGGCGAAGGCGGCCAACUGGUCCGGCACUGACGCUGAGGUGCGAAAGCGUGGGGAGCAAACAGG
rnacentral:rRNA from 1 species